GACAGAGGUGCCAAGCGUUUAGGCGGAAUCACUGGGCUUAAAGCGUGUGUAGGCGGAUCGUUAAGUACCUUGUGAAAUCCCACGGCUCAACCGUGGAACUGCUGGGCAUACUGCGGGUCUUGGGCCAACUAGGGGCAGCCGGAACAAGCGGUGGAGCGGUGAAAUGCGUAGAUAUCGCUUGGAACGCCGAAGGUGAAAACAGGCUGCUGGGGUUGCGCCGACGCUGAGACACGAAAGCCAGGGGAGGCAAACGGG
rnacentral:rRNA from 1 species